AUUGAACGCUGGCGGCAGGCCUAACACAUGCAAGUCGAGCGGAUGAAGGGCGUUCGCUUCUGGAUUCAGCGGCGGACGGGUAAGUAAUGCCUAGGAAUCUGCCUGGUAGUGGGGGAUAACGUCCGGAAACGGGCGCUAAUACCGUAUACGUCCUGAGGGAGAAAGUGGGGGAUCUUCGGACUUGACGCUAUAUGAUGAGCCUAGGUCGGAUUAGCUAGUUGGUGGGGUAAAGGCCUACCAAGGCGACGAUCCGUAACUGGUCUGAGAGGAUGAUCAGUGACACUGGAACGGAGACGAGGUCCAGACGCCUACGAGGGGCGGCAGUAGGGAAGAUUAGACAAUGGGCGGAAGCAUGCUCCAGCCGUGCCGCGUGGUGGAAGAAGGUCUUCGGAGUGUAAAGCACUUUAAGUUGGGGGGAAGGACAGUAAGUUAGUACCUGGCUGUGUUGACGGUACCAACAUAAUAAGCACCGGCUAACUUCGUG
rnacentral:rRNA from 1 species